GGUGGCUCACCGGUAGAGCACUUGCCUUGCAUGCACCAGGCUCUGGGUUCGAUUCUCAGCACCA
rnacentral:tRNA from 1 species